AUUGAACGCUGGCGGCAGGCCUAACACAUGCAAGUCGAACGAGUGGCGGACGGGUGAGUAAUGUCUGGAAAACUGCCUGAUGGGUGGGGAUAACUACUGGAAACGGUAGCUAAUACCGCAUACCAUCGGAUGUGCCCAUAUGGGAUUAGCUAGUUGGUGGGGUAAAGGAUCACCUAGGCGACGAUCCCUAGCUGGUCUGAGAGGAUGACCAGCCACACGGGAACGUAGACACGGUCCAGACGCCUACGCGAGGCAGCAGUGGGGAAUAUUGCACAAUGGGCGCAAGCGUGAUGCAGCCAUGCCGCGUGUAGGAAGAAGGCCUUCGGGUUGUAAAGUACUUUCAGUGGGGAGGCGUUACGCGCAGAAGAAGCACCGGCUAACUACGUGCCAGCAGCCGCGGUAAUAC
rnacentral:rRNA from 1 species